rnacentral:rRNA from 1 species
UCACUAGUGAUUAAGGGCACCACAAGAACGCGUGGAGCAUGUGGCUUAAUUUGACUCAACGCGGGAAAUCUUACCGGGUCCGGACACACUGAGGAUUGACAGGUGUUUCGAAGGUAACUUGAGUCUUUUUACUUCGGUAACGAGGCUUUCGCUUUACACUUCAUUUCAAAUAUGCUAGUCCUUUCAUGACUGUGUGAUAGGUGGUGCAUGGCCGUUCUUAGUUCGUGGAGUGAUCUGUCUGCUUAAUUGCGUUUCACUUAUGGCUUGUAUAUGUCUACACUAUAGUGUUGACCGCACUGCUUCUUUAAGUGGUGUCUGAGUCCGCUAUGGAAAGCAUUGCACAGCCUCGAAGGCAACGAACGUGACCGCAACCUCUUGUUGCCUCCCACGUGUCUGGGCUUACCAAAUGGCUUUUCUGUUUCGGCAGUUGCUUUUGCGUGAGUAUUCCAGACCACGGUCUAUCUUUCAUGCUGGCCAAUGCUUCGGCUUUCGGUCCAGUUGGGAUAGUUUACUGAGUGGAGGGAAACUAGAGGGACCGCUGACAUUCUUUAAACCAGAGGAAGGUUGCGGCAAUAACAGGUCUGUGAUGCCCUUAGAUGUUCCGGGCUGCACACGUGCUACAAUGAUUAUUGCAGUGAGCAUCUUACCCAGUUCGUGUGCGCAGUGAUUCUCGUUCAUGGUUUGGCUGUUAUGUGUUUUGGGCGUUUUAACUUCGGUUUUGGCGUUUCUUAGCGCUGAUGGUCAUAUUCGCCGUGAACAGACCUGACGCAUUUUACGACUAGGCUACUUCGAAAGUAAGUAGCUAAUCAAUUCGAAGUAAUGAUUUCCUUUUGCAUACUAUAUAUGUACUGGCGGUUUUGCGGGUUCAGCCUUGUGUUGUUCUUUGCAUACCACAGUUACAUGUGCUCCAUAAAUUCGUGGUGGGGACAGACCAUUGUUAAUUGUUGGUCUCGGUCUCAACUAGGAAUGCCUUGUACGGGUCUUUGGUUCAACAGACCACCCGGAAUAUGUCCCUGCGCUUUGUACACACCGCCCGUCA